ensembl:lncRNA
ACAAAGCCUUGAUUAAACAAUGAUAUAUCUGUGAUCCCUUGUUCAGCAUCAGUGUGGAUUAGCAGCAUCCCACUCAUCAACACACCCUGUGGAAAAAGGCCAAGUUCAACAUUCUCUCCGAACAAGGCGGGGGAAUUACAGCACAGAAAAGGAAAUUAGUUGCACAAGCUUAUCGAUUCACAAUCAGUGCAGGAAUGCUGUUGCAACUCAGCACACGUGUUUCUGAUAUUUGGAAUUUUCAGAUCAAGCACCAGAGCCACCGUGUGAAGGGACUAUCAGACAUCAUCGUGUAGAUCUUACAGGUUUGGGUGGCCCUGCUCUCUCUCUCUCUUUCUCUCCCGCUCUUUUUUUGUUUUCUCCUGUCCAAAGGAAGAGAAAGUCCAGACCCAGUUCUGAGACCUGCUCUGGAUAACAUUAUCACUGCAGUGAAUGAGAAUGCUUCCCAUUAAUGGCCUUCAUUCUCAAGCUUUCAUCCUCUCCUACUUUUACAGCCUUUUUUAACACCUGAUAUCUGAUAUUAGGUUAGGAAGUGGCACAUGUGUAACAUUUGUUUUUUAUCUUUAUUUUCAGUUUGUGCGAUAGCUGUGCAGGUUAGGACAGACCCAAUAGCUGCCUCUGUGUGUGUGUGUGUGUGUGUGUGUGUGUGUGUGUGUGUGUGUGUAUGUGUUUUUUAUUAAGUGCUUCUUCAGUAGCUGAUGCUCAGCUCUGGCAGCUAUGCCCUGGAGAUACAUUCAUCCAGUGCCACUCUCGUCUCCCUGUAUAUCUGUUUUCCAUAACACAUGCGCCGUCGUUCUAGCCGUAAAUCUCAAAUACAACCGCUCUGUCCGCAACAGGGACGUCUACAUCUUUACUUUCACUCUGGAAAUAAAUGGAAUGCUCACCACCAGGAUUGAUGGGAAACGGUUUGAAUGGUUAGCUUGAGAGAGAACAAAAAAAGAUUAAUAGUUGAAGUCUCCUCCCUUUUUUCACUGAAAUUAGAAGAGUAAGUCUACGUAGCCUAGCAUGUCCAGACAAUCUGUAGUGCCUGAAAGACUCUCACUGAUUUGCUUACUCACUCACUGACAGAAAUGCAGGAGUCGUUACAGAUUGUAAGGGAGUGACUGCUCAGCGGUUAUGGCUCUGUACUACUGACCGUAAGGUUGUGAGCUCAAAUCUCAGCGUGUCUCUGUUCUUCCCUUGAAUAAAAUUCCUUAACUCUUAGGACUGUUUACAGCCCCACUUAUAUUGUAAACCUAUUAUAUGUCAAAUGUACAUAAGGCUCUGCAAUAGUGACCAUAAGACUGUGAGGUCAAAUCCCAUUGGGCCUUUGUUUAACUCUUGAACAAACUCUCUUAACUCAUAAAAUUGUAUUUAGCCCCCUUAUAUUGUAAACCUUGUGUGUGGGGUCAAAAGGGCAUUAAGCUUCGGAAUAGUCACCAGACGGCUGUGAGGUCAGAUCCAAGAGAAACCUCGGUUUAGCCCUUGAACAAACCCCCCUAAGUCCUAGGAUUGUACAUAGCCCUGCUGAGAUGUGUAACCCUUUUGCAUGGUAUUAGAUGUAUAUAUGUCAAAAUGGUGCAAAAUGGCUCUGCACUAGCGACCUGUAGGUUGUGAGGUCAAAUCCCAGUGAGCCUCUGUUUUACCCUUGAACAAACUCUCUUAACUCCAAGAGCUGUACUGUAUUUACUCCACGUAUAUUGUAAACCUUGUUUCUUACUUUAUGUCAAAAGGGCAUUAGGCUUUACAAUAGUGACCAGAAGGUUGUGAGGACAAAUCCCAGACAAACCUCUGUUUGGUCCUUGAACAAAUGCGCUUAAAUUUUAAGAUUGUAUAUAACCGCAUUGAAAUUUGUAAACCUUUUUGUGCAGUGUUAGGUUUAUACAUGUCACAAUGGCAUAUGCUUGUGCACUAGCAACCAGAAGGUCAUGAGAUCGAAUCCCAGUGUGCCUCUGUUUGGCCCCUGAACAGCCCAAAUUUUACAGUAAAUUAUACUUUUGAGUGAUUGUAUAUGUAAAAAUGUGUGUCAAAUUAAUAAAUGCACUGUAAAUGAAUGUUUCAUGACACACACUACGGCGAAAGAAUGUAAAUAAUAAAAUCCAUCUGAAAGCUGGAAAAUUUCGAUAUUGGCUCCAACAUGUUUGUCAUCACAUUCAGGCCUCUGACCCAAUGCCUCUCUCUCUUUCUCUUCCUCAAUCUCUCCUUUCUCUCUCUCUCUCUUCCUUUUGGCUGUCUCUGGAAUCUACAAGCAGCUGGGAAAUAAGUGCAAAACAAAAAGCCUUUACUCAUUCUGCAGAGGAACAAUCCAUCCAAGCCAGCAAUUAGAAAAAUCAACAAAACACAACGGGCAUACUUAGAAGAUGAUGUGUGAAGAGAAACACCCGCCUGAAGCCGAACUCUCAUUCAGUCGUGGCCAAAUAUGAUGGGUCGGAUGGUAAACACACGCUAGCCGAGAAGCCGGAGAAAGUAAAUAAUAAAAGAUGCAUCUGAGAAGUAUUACACGUUGAACCUUUUUGGGUUUUCUUUGCAUGUCGAUGUCUGCAUUUGCUAAACAGGUAGGCUAGGGCAUAAAUCUGGCUAGCAAACUCUUAUCUUGUUUUAGCCUGCAACUGAAAUUUGGAAUAGAGCGAUGCUUACCGAAUAUUAAUGUGGGAAAAUUCCCAAAGCUAAACCAAACCGCCUAUAAUGUUGAAAUAAGUCCUACAGCUACUUUAAUUAUAACCUACAGUGUUUUAAUAACAGACAAAAGUAGGACAUAGUUCAUUUAACACUGUGUUUGAUCUUUCACUAAUAUGAUUUAGCAGUGUAGGUGCUAAUUCAGCAAAGUGUGUGUGUGUGUGUGUGUGUGUGUGUGUGUGUGUGUGUGUGUGUGUGUGUGUGUGUGUUUAGCAUUAAGGAUUUGGCUAUGUAGAAGAAAUAUGAACUUCUCAGGUGUCUUCCAGAUUCACUUCAAGGUCUUCUUCGACAUAUAGGAGCUGACUGGAAAAAAUAAAUAAAUAAAAUAAACCCACAAACGGGUUCUGCUACUUUUAGUCAAAUUAUAUAAUUAGGCUGCAAUGUUUGCAAGACUGUCAAAUUUGGUGUCCCUGAAAAAAAAAAAAAAAAAAAAAUCCCAAUCCAAAACGGUGGUGUUAGGAUUGUAUAUCAUUUUUAUACAUACAAACAGAUAGCACAGUAUUAAAACCAAUUUUUUUUUUAAAACAUACACUCAACUUCUGUCAUAAAAAUUAAAACAGUUAACAGAUUUUUGUUUACCUCAUUAUCUUACCGUUUAGGUGAGUUUCGGACCGCACGUCCUUUCGAAUGAAACCGCAUUGAUUCCCACGAGCAAGUUUCCACUCUUAAGAACUCGUCAAAGUGAAGAUCACCUCAAGAAUUUCGAGAUAUAUGUAUACAUAUAUAAAGAUAUAUAUUUCUCUCUCUCUCUCUCUUUUACUCUUUAAAAUAUCCGUCCACGCCGUCGGUUCAUUUUGACGAAAUUUCCGUUAGAUUCCGUUAAUAAUCCGAGUUUAAACUUUUUAAAUCCCUCAGAUCGGACAGCUCGUGAGACAUCUCGCGCCGCACGCCUCGCGCAGUCCGUGCGCGCGCGCGACGCUAACGGCUCGCCCAGCGAUAGCUCAGCACAGCAAUGCUACCACUUGUAGCAACUUCUCGAAGCUUUUUUUAACAAGUAAAUCCGUCCAGACCUUAACUACGAACGGAAAUCUGACUGAAAACAACCCAUUUCAGAUUAAACUAUGAGGAAAUGAUUUCUCUCAGGACGCGCCAAAAGAGUCUCCCACGGACGGAGUCUCGUGUCCGUACGGAAAGAUGAGGGAUUUGUGAAGCUUUCGUACUGUAUAUAGCAGGACAAGACAGGACCCAGAAAGGGGGCUGGUUUCAAGAGGAGGGGGGGAUGAAAAAAAGAAGACGACAAGAAAUGCAUGAGAGGGAAAACGGAGGAACAACAUCUGCUGCCUAUUGGUCAGAGGAAUCGAUUGAGCCAAUCUUUUGGAUUUGUCACCUCAAUCCACAUCUCAGUCCAGAUGUUGCUUGACAUGCUGUCACUUUGUACCGUCAGGUUAGUAUUCCAGAGAAAGAACCGUCUUUGACAGAGAGUAUGCCUACACCAAGCUUUAUCUCAGCCUCAUGAAUAAUACAAUAUUAAUGUUAAUGCUAGCAUCAAUCAUUACAUUCAUAAUUUUAAGUGUCUUAGGGAUUUCCCCUAUGUACAUUCCAUAUCUUACAACUGUAAUGCUAAUCAUUUUGAAUAUGCAUUCACUCCGUGUGAUAAAUAUAUUUACCAUUUUUAAUAGAGUCGUAUUCUGUUUUAUUACACUGUUUAUGAUAUUACUUAGACAAACUAUGUUGUUAGAGGCAAGUGUGUAAUGUUUUUGGCAUGCAGCUGCAUGAUAGUAAUUGGUGGUUAGCUUCAUAGCUCCAGUGCAGGUACAAAGAGGUGAAAUUUGGCAUACCAGACAUGUCUUGGCUGAUCAGCGAGAUCUGAGGUAGCCAAAUUAUUUAGAUAAUAUUUUUCUCUCCACAAAUCAUUAAUAUAGGCUUAACCACUUCUGAUCUAGUGGUUAAGAAAGUGUUGAACGAUUUAAACUAGGUUGGGGUAGCAUUAAUCUUUUAAAG